rnacentral:rRNA from 1 species
AUCGGUGACAGGUGGUGCAUGGUUGUCGUCAGCUCGUGUCGUGAGAUGUUGGUUAAGUCCCGCAACGAGCGCAACCCCUAUUGUUAGUUGCCAUCAUUCAGUUGGGCACUCUAGCGAGACUGCCGGUAAUAAACCGGAGGAAGGUGGGGAUGACGUCAAAUCAUCAUGCCCCUUAUGACCUGGGCUACACACGUGCUACAAUGGUUGGUACAACGAGUUGCGAGUCGGUGACGGCGAGCUAAUCUCUUAAAGCCAAUCUCAGUUCGGAUUGUAGGCUGCAACUCGCCUACAUGAAGUCGGAAUCGCUAGUAAUCGCGGAUCAGCACGCCCGCGGUUCCGAAUACGUUCCGGGCCUU